rnacentral:rRNA from 1 species
ACAAGCGGUGGAUGAUGUGUUAAUUCGAUGCAACGCGAAAACCUUACCCACCUUUGACAUGGCAGGAAUCCUGAAGAGAUUUGGGAGUGCUCGAAAGAGAACCUGCACACAGGUGCUGCAUGGCUGUCGUCAGCUCGUGUCGUGAGAUGUUGGGUUAAGUCCCGCAACGAGCGCAACCCUUGCCAUUAGUUGCUACGAAAGGGCACUCUAAUGGGACUGCCGGUGACAAACCGGAGGAAGUGGGGAUGACGUCAAGUCCUCAUGGCCCUUAUAGGUGGGGCUACACACGUCAUACAAUGGCCGGUACAGAGGGUAGCCAACCCGCGAGGGGGAGCCAAUCCCACAAAGCCGGUCGUAGUCCGGAUCGCAGUCUGCAACUCGACUCCAUGAAGCCGGAAUCGCUAGUAAUCGUGGGUCAGCAUGCCACGGUGAAUACGUUCCCGGGCCUU